AGAAACCAGUGACUAAAAACUACGUAGCAGAAACAGUGGGACUAACACUAACUAGUAGCAGAAACCAGUGGGACUAACACUAACUAGUAGCAGAAACCAGUGGGACUAACACUUUUACUUACUCUUUAGUUUUGUCUUUUUCGCUUUCCUGAAGAAAAAAAAGAGUGCAUUAGAAGGCGCUGUUCAAUUCUUUUUUGUGAAAGUUUGAAAGAGGCAAACUUGAAAACGGGAUCAAACUUACAGAUCAACAUUUUUUGCUGCACAGCAGCAAUCUUCUUGCUCGGUGCUCACCCCCUCAUCUUUCCCUCAACAUCAUAAUGCCUGUAAGAGGAAGGAACACCGCCAAGAAACCAGGCCAUGAACUACAAUAAACUUCAAAAACACUGUUCUACAAAUUUCCGUAUGACUUUAUGUAUCUCUUUUUUAACCAGUAUUUUUAUGUUCAACAGUGCUUACAAGUAAAUGCACCGUGCUGCGUAUGUCAUAGGGCUAUAUACAUAAAGAUUACUAUUGUGGUUCAUUAUUAAAAAAUAAGUGGAAUCACUUUUUAUGUUCUCCCAUCUUCGAGUCAUCUCGGCAUUUCUGGGGAGACAUUGACAAUAGAAUCUCAUGUUGUAUUUUUGCCAAUGGCAGCUUGAAUACAACGUUGACACAGUAGGCACAUUCCAUACACUAAACACCCCCCAACACAGAGUCUGUCUGUAAUGAGAUGAACUCACUGAUUAGCCUUUUGAAGCUCUUUUUUUUCUGCAGGUUGCUGUCCACAUAUUGAGAACUCUGCUUUCAGGAACCCAUUCAUCCCAGCUAAAACAGAAAGAAAUCAACCACAUUCAACAUCUGACCGUUUAUUUUUAUGAAUCAUACCCAGAAUGUUAGGUCUGGGGCUGUGAGGUAAGCAUUCAUAAAAAAAUGUAAAAAGUUCAUUCAAAAAAAAAAGAUGGGUCCAUAGCUAACAGUACAGACAGUACUGGUCCUCUGCAGCUCAAAUGUUAGAGCAGCGUUUCACAAGGGGUGUACGUUUUGGUUUUUGCCCUAGCACUACACAGCUGAUUCAAAUGAGGAACUCCUCAUCAAGCUUUGAUCAUUUGAAUCCCCCUUGGGGUCCCCAAGAGUUUGGGGUAACGCUCUGUUAGAGCACUUACUUGCAACACCAGAAUAGUGGAUUCAAGUCCCAGGACCACCCAUUCAUAAAAAACGUUUGCACCAAACUAAGUCACUUUAGAUACACAUGCCUUAUAUUGAAAAGCCAACAAUUAAA
rnacentral:lncRNA from 1 species